rnacentral:rRNA from 1 species
UGAAUACGAGAUGCUACGGCGUCGAAGCAGUCUAUGUCAUACUUCCAAGAAAAGCUUGCACUGUCAUAAACAAAUGAUGCCUGUACCAUAACCGACACAGGUGGGUAGGUAGAGUAUACUAAGGGGCGCGAGAUAACUCUCUCUAAGGAACUCGGCAAAAUGACUCCGUAACUUCGGGAGAAGGAGUGCCUUAUUUAUAAGGUUGCAAUAACAAGAUCCAAGCAACUGUUUACCAAAAACACAGGUCUCCGCUAAGUCGUAAGACGAUGUAUGGGGGCUGACGCCUGCCCAGUGCCAGAAGGUUAAAGAAGUUGGUUAGCAUCCGCGAAGCUGAUAACUGAAGCCCUGGUGAACGGCGGCCGUAACAAUAACGGUCCUAAGGUAGCGAAAUUCCUUGUCGGGUAAGUUCCGACCCGCACGAAAGGCGUAAUGAUUUGGAUACUGUCUCGGAGAGGGGCUCGGUGAAAUAGACUUGUCUGUGAAGAUGCGGACUACCUGCACCAGGACAGAAAGACCCUAUGAAGCUUUACUGUAACCUGAAAUUGAAAUUGGACUUUACUUGCGCAGUAUAGGUGGGAGGCGUUGAGAAUAUUCUUGCGGGAUUAUUGGAGCCAUCAGUGAGAUACCACUCUUGUAAUGUUAGAUUUCUAACUCUGUAUCAUUAUCUGGUCAAAGAACAGUUUCAGGCGGGCAGUUUGACUGGGGCGGUCGCCUCCUAAACGGUAACGGAGGCGCACAAAGGUUUCCUCUGAACGGGUAGAAAUCGUAUCUAGAGUGUAAAGGCAUAAGGAAGCUUGACUGUGAGACCUACAAGUCGAGCAGGGACGAAAGUCGGUCUUAGUGAUCUGACGGUGCUGAGUGGAAAGGCCGUCACUCAACGGAUAAAAGUUACUCUAGGAUAACAGGCUGAUCUCCCCCAAGAGUUCACAUCGACGGGGAGGUUUGGCACCUCGAUGUCGGCUCAUCGCAUCCUGGGGCGGUAGUACGUCCCAAGGGUUGGGCUGUUCGCCCAUGAAAGCGGUACGCGAGCUGGGUUCAGAACGUCGUGAGACAGUUCGGUCCAUAUCCGGUGUAGGCGUUAGAAUAUUGAGAGGAGCCUUCUUUAGUACGAGAGGACCGAGAAGGACAUACCUCUGGUGUACCAGUUAUCGUGCCAACGGUAAACGCUGGGUAGCUAUGUGUGGAGUGGAUAACCGCUGAAAGCAUCUAAGUGGGAAGCCCACCUCAAGAUAAGUAUUCUCA